CGACGGUUGUCCCGGUUUAAGCAUGUAGGCUGGUUGUCCAGGCAAAUCCGGAUAAUCAAGGCUGAGGUGUGAUGACGAGGCACUACGGUGCUGAAGUAACAAAUGCCCUGCUUCCAGGAAAAGCCUCUAAGCAUCAGGUAACAUCAAAUCGUACCCCAAACCGACACAGGUGGUCAGGUAGAGAAUACCAAGGCGCUUGAGAGAACUCGGGUGAAGGAACUAGGCAAAAUGGUGCCGUAACUUCGGGAGAAGGCACGCUGGUGUGUAGGUGAAGUCCCUGCGGAUGGAGCUGAGACCAGUCGAAGAUACCAGCUGGCUGCAACUGUUUAUUAAAAACACAGCACUGUGCAAACACGAAAGUGGACGUAUACGGUGUGACGCCUGCCCGGUGCCGGAAGGUUAAUUGAUGGGGUUAUCCGUAAGGAGAAGCUCUUGAUCGAAGCCCCGGUAAACGGCGGCCGUAACUAUAACGGUCCUAAGGUAGCGAAAUUCCUUGUCGGGUAAGUUCCGACCUGCACGAAUGGCGUAAUGAUGGCCAGGCUGUCUCCACCCGAGACUCAGUGAAAUUGAACUCGCUGUGAAGAUGCAGUGUACCCGCGGCAAGACGGAAAGACCCCGUGAACCUUUACUAUAGCUUGACACUGAACAUUGAGCCUUGAUGUGUAGGAUAGGUGGGAGGCUUUGAAGCGUGGACGCCAGUCUGCGUGGAGCCAACCUUGAAAUACCACCCUUUAAUGUUUGAUGUUCUAACGUUGGCCCCUNACCGGGGUUGCGGACAGUGUCUGGUGGGUAGUUUGACUGGGGCGGUCUCCUCCCAAAGCGUAACGGAGGAGCACGAAGGUUAGCUAAUCCUGGUCGGACAUCAGGAGGUUAGUGCAAUGGCAUAAGCUAGCUUGACUGCGAGCGUGACGGCGCGAGCAGGUGCGAAAGCAGGUCAUAGUGAUCCGGUGGUUCUGAAUGGAAGGGCCAUCGCUCAACGGAUAAAAGGUACUCCGGGGAUAACAGGCUGAUACCGCCCAAGAGUUCAUAUCGACGGCGGUGUUUGGCACCUCGAUGUCGGCUCAUCACAUCCUGGGGCUGAAGUAGGUCCCAAGGGUAUGGCUGUUCGCCAUUUAAAGUGGUACGCGAGCUGGGUUUAGAACGUCGUGAGACAGUUCGGUCCCUAUCUGCCGUGGGCGCUGGAGAAUUGAGGGGGGCUGCUCCUAGUACGAGAGGACCGGAGUGGACGCAUCACUGGUGUUCGGGUUGUCAUGCCAAUGGCACUGCCCGGUAGCUAAAUGCGGAAGAGAUAAGUGCUGAAAGCAUCUAAGCACGAAACUUGCCCCGAGAUGAGUUCUCCCUGAGACUUUAAGUCUCCUGAAGGAACGUUAAAGACGAUGACGUUGAUAGGCCGGGUGUGUAAGCGCAGCGAUGCGUUGAGCUAACCGGUACUAAUGAACCGUGAGGCUUAACC
rnacentral:rRNA from 1 species